CAGUCGCCGCGGUAAUACGUAGGUGGCAAGCGUUGUCCGGAAUUAUUGGGCGUAAAGGGCUCGCAGGCGGUUUCUUAAGUCUGAUGUGAAAGCCCCCGGCUCAACCGGGGAGGGUCAUUGGAAACUGGGAAACUUGAGUGCAGAAGAGGAGGGUGGAAUUCCACGUGUAGCGGUGAAAUGCGUAGAGAUGUGGAGGAACACCAGUGGCGAAGGCGACUCUCUGGUCUGUAACUGACGCUGAGGAGCGAAAGCGUGGGGAGCGAACAGGAUUAGAUACCCCGGUAGUCCCUGUCUCUUAUAC
rnacentral:rRNA from 1 species